GAUUCCUGUAUGGUGGAGAUGGUAUGCAUGGGCAUGCCCAGUGGCAUAUACUUUGUAUGGAUUAAUUUCGUCACAGUUCGGAGAUGUAAAGGAUAGACUUGAGUCAGGUGAAAGAGUGGAAGAUUUUUUGAGAAGUUACUUUGGUUUCAAACAUGAGCUGCUAGGAGCAGUAGCAGCUGCAGUUGUUGGGUUUGCAGCACUCUUUGCCUUUAUCUUUGCCAUUUGCAUUAAGUUCUUCAAUUACCAAAGGCGA
rnacentral:misc_RNA from 1 species